AUGAACGCUAGCUACAGGCUUAACACAUGCAAGUCGAGGGGCAUCAGGAAGAAAGCUUGCUUUCUUUGCUGGCGACCGGCGCACGGGUGAGUAACACGUAUCCAACCUGCCCUUUACUCGGGGAUAGCCUUUCGAAAGAAAGAUUAAUACCCGAUAGCAUAAUGAUUCCGCAUGGUUUCAUUAUUAAAGGAUUCCGGUAAAGGAUGGGGAUGCGUUCCAUUAGGUUGUUGGUGAGGUAACGGCCCACCAAGCCUUCGAUGGAUAGGGGUUCUGAGAGGAAGGUCCCCCACAUUGGAACUGAGACACGGUCCAAACUCCUACGGGAGGCAGCAGUGAGGAAUAUUGGUCAAUGGGCGCUAGCCUGAACCAGCCAAGUAGCGUGAAGGAUGAAGGCUCUAUGGGUCGUAAACUUCUUUUAUAUAAGAAUAAAGUGCAGUAUGUAUACUGUUUUGUAUGUAUUAUAUGAAUAAGGAUCGGCUAACUCCGUGCCAGCAGCCGCGGUAAUACGGAGGAUCCGAGCGUUAUCCGGAUUUAUUGGGUUUAAAGGGAGCGUAGGUGGACUGGUAAGUCAGUUGUGAAAGUUUGCGGCUCAACCGUAAAAUUGCAGUUGAUACUGUCAGUCUUGAGUACAGUAGAGGUGGGCGGAAUUCGUGGUGUAGCGGUGAAAUGCUUAGAUAUCACGAAGAACUCCGAUUGCGAAGGCAGCUCACUGGACUGCAACUGACACUGAUGCUCGAAAGUGUGGGUAUCAAACAGGAUUAGAUACCCUGGUAGUCCACACAGUAAACGAUGAAUACUCGCUGUUUGCGAUAUACAGUAAGCGGCCAAGCGAAAGCAUUAAGUAUUCCACCUGGGGAGUACGCCGGCAACGGUGAAACUCAAAGGAAUUGACGGGGGCCCGCACAAGCGGAGGAACAUGUGGUUUAAUUCGAUGAUACGCGAGGAACCUUACCCGGGCUUAAAUUGCAGUGGAAUGAUGUGGAAACAUGUCAGUGAGCAAUCACCGCUGUGAAGGUGCUGCAUGGUUGUCGUCAGCUCGUGCCGUGAGGUGUCGGCUUAAGUGCCAUAACGAGCGCAACCCUUAUCUUUAGUUACUAACAGGUUAUGCUGAGGACUCUAGAGAGACUGCCGUCGUAAGAUGUGAGGAAGGUGGGGAUGACGUCAAAUCAGCACGGCCCUUACGUCCGGGGCUACACACGUGUUACAAUGGGGGGUACAGAAGGCAGCUAGCGGGUGACCGUAUGCUAAUCCCAAAAGCCUCUCUCAGUUCGGAUCGAAGUCUGCAACCCGACUUCGUGAAGCUGGAUUCGCUAGUAAUCGCGCAUCAGCCACGGCGCGGUGAAUACGUUCCCGGGCCUUGUACACACCGCCCGUCAAGCCAUGGGAGCCGGGGGUACCUGAAGUACGUAACCGCAAGGAUCGUCCUAGGGUAAAACUGGUGACUGGGGCU
rnacentral:rRNA from 1 species